rnacentral:rRNA from 1 species
GAUGAACGCUGACAGAAUGCUUAACACAUGCAAGUCGAGCGGGGAAGGUUGCUUCGGUAACUGACCUAGCGGCGGACGGGUGAGUAAUGCUUAGGAAUCUGCCUAUUAGUGGGGGACAACGUUCCGAACGGAACGCUAAUACCGCAUACGCCCUACGGGGGAAAGCAGGGGAUCUUCGGACCUUGCUCUAAUAGAUGAGCCUAAGUCGGAUUAGCCAGUUGUUGGGGGAAAGGCCUACCAAGGCGACGAUGUGUAGCGGGACUGAGAGGAUGAUCCGCCACACUGGGACUGAGACGCGGCCCAGACUCCUACGGGAGGCAGCAGUGGGGAAUAUUGGACAAUGGGCGGAAGCCUGAUCCAGCCAUGCCGCGUGUGUGAAGAAGGCCUUCUGGUUGUAAAGCACUUUAAGCGAGGAGGAGGCUCCUUUAGUUAAUACCUAAAGAGAGUGGACGUUACUCGCAGAAUAAGCACCGGCUAACUCUGUGCCAGCAGCCGCGGUAAUAC